GAAUUAAAAUGCACAUUUGUUUGUUCAUUAUUUCAGAAUCAUUAGUGUAAGUGUGUACACUAAAGUUAGUGAACUCCGUCUUCAACCUUACUUCUGCAUGUUUUGGUCAUUUUUUACAAUGAAGAAUAUGUUUUCAAAUUUCAAAAUACUCUUAGAAAAUACGACCAAUCGUUGAAAAAGAAAGGGUCGUGAUUAGAAAAAUGUCGACCUCAUGCCAGUUAUCUGUUGGAAACACGUUUUCACAUAAAAUCAAAUUCUACUUUGUAGAUCGUUAUGAAAAUGAAACUUUUCAUAACUGUAUAUUUUCUUACUAUUCCUUGAAGAAAAGCCAUUCAAAGGGUAUGAACAUAUUAUGAUUUUUAUUUGCCACAUGCCGGAUAGUUUUAUUGAAAUCUGUAAGCUCAGCGUUUUGCUCAACGAGAUGGAGAAAUGGUAUGGUAGUCCACUUUCUUAUAAUAGUGUCCUGUGUGAAAAUACAUUGUUUUAGCAUGACCUGAAAAUUUUGUAUAAUGAAAUGACGUAAUUCAAUAACUUCCGGCUUAUCAAACACAUGCCAUUUGUUUCAAUUAACUUUUACCCUGCUAAAUUUCUAAAAUGGACUGUUCUAUCAUCCGAUUUGGGCAGUACCACUUAUUAUUCGAAGGGGUGUUCACUGAAAAUUUACAGACGGAAUAGUGAACAGUGCAUGCUGAUCUUGGUCUGCACUAGUCGCAAAGGCUGAAUCACCUGCCGCCAGCAGGCUAAAAGUUAAAUCAUAAUUUUCAGUUCAUUCCGUUUAGAAUUGAUAAUUGUCAUCUUAAAAAUUGUUUUGUUUUGUUUUAUAUUGUUUUUUUUUUCAUUUCUGUUCAUCUUCGUUUUAUAAAAUUAAAUUUUUUAAUCAACAUAAUCAAAGAGUGAAUUUGUCUGCCUUGGUAAAAUUGGGAGGGGACCUAGGGGGAGUUUGGCCUACAUUCGUGCACAAUAGUUAGGUACUACAUUAAAGUUUACGAAACAGUUUUACCAAUUUACUUAUUUGUAUUUCUCAUUUUUUUUUUUUUUUGUAAACAUUACUGCUAUUUUUCUCAUGAAAUAACAUACUUAGAAAGGUCAUGUAUUUUUCCUAUACUAAUAAUUGUUCUGAUGCAAACCUGAUAACGGUAUUCUUAGUAAAGAAAGUCUGUAAAGAAAACAAAAACAACUGUGGAUAAUGUAUUUUACACUGAAUGCACAAAAAGGUCCCAGUUGAAAAUCCACAGUUUGUAAAGCUGGACGUUAUGCAAAAUGUACUGAUAUUUUCACUCCCCGGGGGCAUUAUUAUUUUUGUUAAUUGAUUAACAAGUAGUACCUAAUUGAUUAAUUAAUCAGUUACUUGUUACUAUAGUGGGGUUUUCUGUUAAUAAGCUGUAAAAAUGUGCAAUAAUACCAGAGUAAUAACUAUUUUCCAUACUACAUACACGUAAUACGAGAAUUAUAUCACAUUGUUAUUUUAUCGAUUUUACAAAACUGCUUUCCAGGAGUCUGUAAUUAGCCAUUAUGCGAUGUUGUCUAUAAAACACCUUUGAAUUUGAAAAUUAAACUAUUUUUGGUGUUUUUGCAAAAAAGAUGUGUGAUUAUUUGCACGAAAAUCGCGAACAUUUUCGUUUCCGAGGAAAAAAACCGCGCUUACCCGGAUUCCAUUCAUCAGAGAAGAGCCAAUAGAAUAUUUCGCAUUUGAAGCAAUAAAGCACAAUUAACCCAUACGAAAAAGAAAUUUAAUAAAAGGUCAAUAAAAGGCAAACAAAGGGCUAGCAAAAGGUACUUCUAUGUUUUGUUAAAACCUUUUAUAAGCCUUUCAUUUAACAAAAUACUAACAAAAGACUAUUAAGGAUUUUGUGAGUAAUACAUUUUGUUUACCUUUUGUUUCAGAUACUGCCUUUUAUUAAUGUUUCAUUAUACUUAUAAUUUGAAAUUUACCUUUUAUUAGCAUUGGAUUGGACUUAUAUUCUUAAAUGUUGCCAUUUGUUUGUAUUUCAUUCCACUUAGAAUCAACACUUACAUAUUUUGUUUGUAUUUCAUUACACUUGCUUUCAAAAACAAGAAGUUAAUUUUGUUCAUAUUUCAAUACAUUUGUAGGUUUGGAAGACUUGUUUCACAAAAUCUAGCAUAAACAAAUUAGUUUCAUAUUUCAUUGAUAUUGGCUAAAUACUGCUGCUGCUGUUUUGAAUUUAGAGCUACAUCUACCAUUCACUAUGUUCUUCAUAUACAUAAUUACACUUCUGACAAUUGCAAAGGUUUGUCAGUAAGUAAUUGGCUACUGAGCACUUGCAAAUGCAUAAUAUUCUUUAUCAUACAUAAUCAGCUUUAAGAGAGACAAUCUAUAAACAGAGACCACUUCAAAUAAUAAUUAAAACUUCUCCUGAAAAAACAAUUCCAAUGUUUUUCUCAUUCCAUAGAAUUCCUUAGAAUUUUUUAAGAUAAUGCAAAGUUUUCCUAGUAAGAUUUUUUUUAUUUAAAUUGCAGCAAAGAUUACAUUGAAAAUCUUAAGAUUUGUUUGGAUUAUACUAGGUAUCCAAAUUAAUUGAAAUGAUAUAAGGAAUCUAACUAAUUAAAAUUUAUGUCAAUGUUUUCAUUUUGUAUAUUAAAAGGAUGUUAAUUAGAAUUCUAUCAUUUUAUUUAUAAUUAAUAUAACAAGUUAUAUCAUUGAAAAUAGGUCCUAUUUAUAAAUUAUAUAAGCUAUUUAUUUUUUGGUUAUUGAACACCUCAAACAACAGCACCAGAUAAUAGGCAUUAAAAGUCAUUUCAUAAGUACAACAAAUUGUAAAUGAUAUUAUGCUUUUGAUAUAAUGUUACAUCCUCAUAAAUGAAUUAGUCUAUUCUUUUGAUGAUUGGCAAUGAUUAAUUAUCCUGCUUUUACAGCCACUUGAUAUACUGCUGUUCAAUGUAUACACAUGUGUUAACACACAGAGAUACAGCUUAUCUAAUCAAGAUAAGGACCAAUGAAAAUACAGGCUUCUGAACCGUUUUACACCUGUACACCAAAAAAUAAUCCCCAUCUUUCUGCUUGUUUUUUUUUCUCUGAGAUCUUUGCAAAUGCUGUGAGCAAAUAAAUGGUCAAAUUUUCCUAUGAACUGUAUACUUAUAUAUUUUAAGAACAUAGAUAUUCCCUUCAGUAACUAUAUAUUGUACCAAAAAAAAAAAAUGGCUCAUGAAUACAAAAAUUUGAAUGUAAACAGGAAGUUCGUUGUUCAUGUUGUUGGAGGCAAAUGGAAUAAAGCUAACUUGAAACUCUAAAAUGCUUUUAGAGAGAUAUCAGAUGAAAGAGUGUGCAUAUAUCUAGUUAUUAGAGGUAUAUGCCUAUAUGUAUAAAUUGAUGUAGUUGGAGAAAUCAGAUGGCUUCAGUGCAUGACUAUGCUACAGGAUGAUACAAGAUCACAGACAGAAAUUCGAUCAAGGAUCAAACAUAAAUUACAUAAUACUUCAACUAAAUUAAAUGAAUGGCUGGAAUGAAGUUCCUGACCCUGGUGAUGAUUUUGGAAAAGCAAAGAGACAUUCUGAUGCCACCUUGUAUUGAGCCUGCAAUACUCCAAAAUGAUUUUGCUGUAUUCAUAAUUUUCUAUCAAAUAAUCUUUUAGUUUAAUUUUCAAAUUUAAGCCAAGUGAAUUUUUAUUAUUCUUAACCACAAGUGUAAAAGCCGCUGGCAGAUGUGUUAUUCCCCUUUGAAUUUAUUCUUUUUGUUUUUUAUGAAACCCAGAUCUGUCUCAACAUUAGAUUAAAAUAAUUUUGUAAUGAUACUAUUUCUUCUUUUUUUGUUUUGUGUCAAUAUCAGCAAUGUUUUCCAAUGGUUUUCCAUCAAACCUUUCCAAACUUUUGCAAAGAAUUCUUCUAAACAAUUCCUUCAACUUUUAUGCGAUGAUUUCCAAUGUUCAAAGAGUUCCAUGGACUUUCAACUGCAUUUUCACAGGGCUGUCCCCAUGGGUAUGUGAGUUUAAAUUUAAAUUAAUUUUCACUUUUUUUUCAUGCCGUUUUUCCAAACUUUUCCAUGGAACAUGUACAGACGGGUGUUUUUGUGACAUAAACACUUUCUAGUUUUAGUUUAUGUUUGGGAUCAUGCAAGAUAUCUGGACUGUCUUUUUUUAAUUCAAAAUCAAGAAUUUAUUUAAAUCGGCAAAACAAACAUUUUGGUUAUCUUACAGUAUUUGUUCAUUGCUGUGAAAUUGAUAAUUGCAUGCAUUUAAAGAAAUUUUUACAUUAUUCUUUUGAUCAUAAAUAUAUGUAUAAAAUGUAUAUAUUGAUUUGUCAAUAGUGUUCGAUUAAUGUGUUCUUACGAAAACUUAAAUAAAAGGCAAUUGAUGAUAUACCUUUUAUUUAUGUUUUGAUAAAAGGUCUCUCUGCCUUUUAUUCAUAUUUUGUUUCCUAUAUUUUAUUUGCAAUUUGUUUCUCAUAUGUAAUGAAUGUGAAUGCCUUUUGUUAGUAUUUUGUUACUACCUUUUAUUCAUGUUUUGUUUCUUUGAAACAAAAUAUUAAUAAAAGGUCUCUCUGCCUUUUAUUCAUAUUUUGUUUCCUAUAUUUUAUUUGCAAUUUGUUUCUCAUGUAAUGAAUGUGAAUGCCUUUUGUUAGUAUUUUGUUACUACCUUUUAUUCAUGUUUUAUUUGCCUUUUGUUAUCUCAUUUGCAUAUCAUUUGCUAGGCUAAUAAAAGGUCUUCAAAACAUAACAU
rnacentral:lncRNA from 1 species